UUCAAGGAGAGAAACAAUGAUAAUCAAGUUCCCAUCUGUGAAAGGAGAGCUUGUUCGUGUCCUUUUCAAUGGGAUGAAUGUUAGUGGAUUUCAGAUUACUAUGCCAUUUACAUUCCAUUUAUAAAAGAGAUACUACUGUCUCUAGCAGCUAACCUUGCUCUGGACAUACAAUCUGUGCUUCAUAAUUUUUUGAUUUGAAAUGCUUUGUAUUCAAUCGGAAUUAGCUUCUGACAGAGCUUUUGUUUUUUUAAAAAAAUAAAAAUGUGAGUGUCAUAAUUAUAUGCACAGUAACUAAGUGCAGUGAUUUUCUUUUGGAAACAUGUAGGUGAAGAAAAAUUUGAUAAACCUGAACAGCCCCAAAGUAGGGAGAAUAAAUAUGAGGACAUCAACAGAGAAUCCAGAAUGUGGUAGGAUUGCACAGAGAAAGAAAAACAUCCAAUAGAGGGAAUCCUAUACUCUUAUCAAAUGAAAAAGGUGGCCCAAAGUUUUCUCCGAGGCCAAAAGAAGAAAAGACCCACCCAGUCUAAAGAAACUGAGAAUUGGACAAACUGAGAAAAACCUUUAGUUUGUUCCCUUUCAGGAUUAAAUGCAUUUAUGGAAAAAGAAAAAUUGGAUGGUAAUAGAAUACUGUAAUGCUGCAAUGGAUUCCUCAGCGGAAAACAGUAUGUACGUAAACAAAUUGUGGGUUCAGUGUGAAUAUGAAAGCUGUUUGAAGUGGAGAUUGUUGUCAAGUGAGGAUGCAGCCAGAGUUGAUCACAAUAAACCAUGGUACUGCUUCAUGAACACUGAUUCAAGAUACAAUAAGUGCUCUGUUGCUGAAGAAGACUUUCCUGAAGAGUCUCAGCUUCAUCAAAGUGGAUUUAAGAUUGUCUAUUCACAACUCCCUCUUGGAAGUCUGGUUUUGGUAAAAUUACAGAGUUGGCCAAGCUGGCCAGGGAUACUUUGCCCAGAUCCUUUUAAAGGGAAAUAUGUGACCUAUGACCUGGAUGGAAAUGUUGAACAGUAUCACAUAGAAUUCCUGGGUGAUCCCCAUUCAAGAUCAUGGAUAAAUGCAACAUUUGUUGGACAUUAUAGUAUCACAUUAAAGCUAGGAACAUGUACAAAGAAAAAGAAAUGGUAUAAAAGUGCACUACAAGAAGCAUACCUUCUCUAUGGACAUUCUCACGAGCGAAGACUAGAAGUGUGCCGCCUAUCCAAACAGGAUAAAUCCAAAGCAGAUGGCAAAGUUGCUGUGGUAGCCAAGAAAAGGAUGCAAGUUUCCAGAAACACUACUGGCAAAAAGAAACCAAAAUUUAGAAGAAGGAUAAGGAAACCUAUUUUAAAAUACUCUUUCGAAAAUGUUUGUUCAGAUGACGCCAUGUCAAAGGAAAAUGUGGUUGUCUCUGAGACAGAAGUUUUACUAAAAGAGCUGGAGCAAAUGCUACAGCAGGCACUAGAGCCCACAGGAGCGCCUGAUGAGUCUGAAGAGGAGCGUGGAGAAGAAGUGAAUACAGGAGAAAAGUUAUCUGAAUGCAGCCCUGAAGUUCCUGCAGGCGGUCCAUUUGAAAACCACUAUGAAGAAGACUGUCUUGUAAUUGAUGGGAUGAAAUUAAAAGCUGGAGAAUGUAUUGAAAAUAUAACUAACAAGUUUAAAGAAAUAGAUGCUCUAAUGUCUGAAUUUUAAGGUAUUAUUGAUAUUUUCAAAAGUUAAUUAUAAAAAGUUACAUGUUUAUAUUUUUCCAAAGUCAAAAACUUGAAAACAUGUAGGGAGAUAGGUAUAUGUUAUACCAAAGCUGCUAUUUGUAACAACUUCCUGUUUUAUGCUUUUGAAUAUCCAUUGUUUUGAGAGCCAAUCAAAUGGUAUUCAAGUUAGUGUUAAGAUUUAAGAUUUAAAAAAACAAUUUAGCAUUUAAGAAACCCUGAUAUUUGUAUUUAUAGAUUUUUUUUCUUGUUUGCCUUAAUUUUAAAAUGGUUUAUGAAACUUACUGUGCAAACACGUGCUUUACAAUGAUUAUUUAGGCCCUUUAUUCAAAUAUGGCUAUUUAGAUGGCUGUCAAGGCUAUUAGAAUUCUUCCAUAUAAUUCAAGCAUAGUAGAGAUUGAGUAUGUGUAUUGGUAGUGGAAUUAAGCUACUAUAAAAUAAAAGGAAAUAAUAAAAAAAUUAUUGUAUAUUAGAGUUGGGGUUCUUCUCAAAGGUGUCAGUUGCCUUAUACUGGAAAUAAUCAUUUCAACCAUGAUUCCAAAACCUGAUUAAGUGGAGGUGGGAGGCUAUGGAAGAUCAGAAUCCUGGAUGCUUCCCUAUUAAAUCAGUAUCUCUGAAGGUGAGGAUGGGAAACAUGGUGAAAAAUAUAAGAUUAAGUUAAGCAUACUCACAAUAAAAAAAUUCUCAGCAUUAUUGGACAGCAAAAAGUACAUCCUACAAUACCACUCCUUAACGCCUCUCUGAAACCCCAUUCCGUAGGGAUUCCCAUGAGCAGUUUCAGGGGGUGUCCUUCCACAUAAGUGUUCUAACGCACAUCCAUCUCCAGUACCCACUCUCGCUCUCUCUCCAUGUCUCUCUUGGGAGUAUGGGAUCAGGGAAAGGGCAUUCCAAGCACAUCGAAACAGAAAACAAAGCUUGAAGAGAGAAGAGAAAGCAAUUCAGCAUCUUGGACCUAUUGCUAGUUGAAUUAGCUGGAGUAACCACAUGCUGGUGUGAAGGUAGCCACAACAGAUGAGUAGCACUGUGUACACAGGCUAAGGAACGUGUACCUGUAGGGGCCAAGUGAAGAGUUUUAGACCGUGGAGUCCCUUUUACAUUUCAGAAAGAUCACACCAGCAGCAACACAGAGAAUGGAGUGAGCAAGAGAGCACUGGAGACGGGGCUCCUUGUUAGGAGGCUGCUUGGGAAAUCCAGUUGCAGGAUUAUGCGCACCUGAAUAUGGUGGUGCUAUAUGGAGAGAGCAGAAUGGUUUCCAGCUGCAUUAACAAAUGAAUGGAUUAUUAGGAUUUUGAGAAUGGAAAUAGGCAUGCGACAGUGGGGGGGAGGUGGGGUCGACUUCAGGGUUCUUGUAUUCACAGUGCUGUUCACCGAAGUCAGAAUAGGUGCAGAUUAGAAGCGUGGGGCAGAUACCAAGUUUGGGGCUAAACUGUGUGAGUUCAGCAAAGGUUCGAAACUCUUCGUGUUUUGACAGAGCCUGCCUUUCAGAACCACGCCAUGAGCCAGAGUGACUAUGACUACUCUCUCACUGCAUCAUAUUUACUUCUAAAUGGUAUCAAACAGUGGAAACUAAGGCUUCCUCUUUUUCUUCUAACAGAAUUUACUCCAUAGCCUUUCAGAAAAACUUUCCCUCUUUCUCUCGCCGCUAUGAUUUUAUAUUCACAGCCUACAAAAUGUCUCAAGAAGUAAUCGAUCCCAUUUUCCUGUUACUUCUUAGAAUCAACAAUAAAAUGACUACAAUUGUAUUUGAAAGACUUUACCCACAAUUCGAGUGUUUGAUCUAAGCCCCCAGGUGGUAGACUAAUUAGAUCACUUGCAGCUAAUUCCUGUUGGUGGAAUAGCCAGUGCUCUUCCAAGUUAGAGUCCAUGGGUAAGACACUGAAAUUUCCAGACUGAAUUCAUCUCUGCCAUGUUCUAAGCUGCAGAAGUCCGGAAUUUCCACUGAAGUCUUUGUGCACUUGGGCAGUUCAAAUUGGUCCUGAGGACAAACAUUUGGGUUGGCUCUGUCUGCAGAGGAAACUUCAAUCUCCUUCCAAGAAGAGGCUCUUAGGGAAAAGGCCUUUUCCAAGAAGAGGACAGAGGGGAGCCUCUGUCCAUGUGAGAAUAUAGCCUUUCAAAUUUCCAGAUAGAAUGUGCUCAGGAAAACGGAUGAAGGAGCAGUCAACUAACAUCUCUGUCCUCAAGGCUGAGAAUCCUGCCUGGCUGGCAAACCCUACCUGCUGGUAAAGACCCCAUGUUCAGGGCAGGCCGCUCAACAUACACCAGGGCAUAGCAGUGGGACUGUGGAAACACGAUGCCUGCCUUCAGGUCCUGGUGCUGCCGACGACUCAUUGGGAGACCUGAGGCAAGUUACUUAACUUCUCUGAGCCAGGGUUUUCUUCCAUCUAUAGAGUAGAAGUUGCUGUGAAAGGAAAUGUAUGAAUAGACAUAAAAUGCAUAGAGCAUUCUUAACACACAGAAAACUAUGCAAGUCAUGACCAUGAUUGUUGUCUCAAAAGCAUUUCUCUUCUGACUGCCUCUGCCUGGUUAUCCUAGGCCUAAAGCCUAAAGCCUAAGUGCUUCUUUCAGCAGAACCUGAGGUGAUACACCUGCUUCUGGGGGACUGGGGCCAAAGACUUCUCUGACUAUGCUGACUCCCAGGGCAGGCCUGGAGGUGGACAGUACCCUGCCUCUAUAGCUAGGGCCUCCUGCUAGGCCCAGAGGAGGACAUUAUAAGGAAAUUGUAUCUGCUCAUCAAGGGAGAUUAAAUUCUAAGCACACUAGUUAUACCAAGUUUGAUAUGGGAGCUAUAAAGCAAUAUGUUAGGACCUUCUGCCUGAGCCUUUGGGUUGGAAUAAGACCUCCUCUUUGUCUAGUUUGAGGAGUGGCUGACUAAUCCUCUUUGCAAUGAAUUGAGCAGCUAGUCUGUAGCCUCCAUGAACCUAUGGAAGGGCUGGGUCCACCAGAAGCUGAGUCCCCACUUAGAUCUACAGACUGUGGAAAGUUAAACACCAAAGCCAACUCUGUUGCCCUAUAUUCUAGGAAGUCCUGGUCCAUUUGCCUCAUGCAGAAGCUGAAUUUAUGCAGGUAUUUCCAGUGGUAAGAAGCUUAGCUCUAUCUUUAGUGGAGACAGGCUACGUAUUUUGACUUGUUGCCACCAGUGGGAUAAAGAGAGGAGUGCACCCUUGCACUUGCAAAAGUCUGUAGUGUCUACAGCCUUGAAUUUCCUGGCUCUGCAGUGGAGGUGAUGAGUCACAGAUAGUUAAUAUGUCCACUAAUAGACCUAAGCACUAUCAUAAACUAUCUAGAGGCUUUGUGGAAAAAAUUGGCAGUUAGCUCUUUUUGGAGGAAACUUUUAUUCAUGAAAACUGAAGUGAACUGUGUAUUGCUUUUCAUGGAACGAAACCAUUCUAUAACCUAAUGCCUCUACCAAAUAGCUGGCAUUCCAUAACUCCACCACUUAUUGGGGUUAAGAAUUGGUAUAGUUCUGUUCCAGAUACUUCCAGACCAGUAGAAUUUGCAUCUGUGGACAUUCCAAGGGACAAAGGUAAGAUUUUGAAAAUCCAAAAUAGAAAUAUCCAAAUCCUGCUCUAUUAUUUCUUCCUCUGUAUGGUUCCAAGAAGAGGUCUAAACAUAGUGCAAUUAAAAAAUUCUAAGUUCUUUUUUAGGGCUGAGCCAACUCUUGCUGUCACUUAGUAGAAUUCUGAAAGAGUUGUUUAGUAAAGACAAAUUUGACGUUAAGGUCCAAGUGGGAUAUUCUAUGUACGCAAAUCUAAAUAUUAGGAUUUUCCCACCCACUGAGUGGUUGCAUGGUAUAGGCAUGCAGAGUAGUGAGCAGCAAAUGAAAGGGUAGGGGAGAGAGGAGAAACUUGUUUCCAAGAAAAAUUCUGAAAGAAUGAGUUGUUUUCUUUUAAAUGCAUAUAGGAAAAUACUAUGAGAAAGGAGAUAUGCUCAGAACCAAACAAAAUAAAACGCAAUUUGCAAGCAGCCCAGAAGUUGCUGGGUUAAAAAAUAAAACUUUUUAAUCUUCAGCCUCUCCAACCAGAAAAAGAUUCUCAAAUUAAAAUGUAGCCUGGGGACAGUGAUCAAGUCCAGGGGUUGGUUGUUGAAUCACAGAAAGAGAGACAAAGACCAAAUCUAGGGGGCUUGCAGGAAAACAUGGCCUCAGGGUAAGGACCCAAUCAGGGGUGUGGCUAAUAACAUUACAAACUAUUACAAAAUGACUUUUAAACCUCCUGCAAAGCUUAAAGGUAUAGUAGUGCAGCCACCUGACAUGCCCAAAGUGCCGGUAAUUAAAUCUGGAGAGAAAAGCCUGUCUUGAAAAUAACUGUGGUUUUGACACAUAGAAUGGACUAGAAUCAAAUACAUAGAAAACCCACUAAGUUGUAGAAAAACUGACACCACCUUAAGUACUAAUAGCCUGAACUAAAUGAGACUGAAACUGUUUGAGAGGGGAGAAAAGACCCCUGAGCCCCCAGUUUUCUAUGUAGGAAAUAGGCUAGGAAAACUUAGCCACCCAAAAAAAGUAGAAGUUUCAGUGUCCUCUUCAGAAGCAAAUGAGGAAGAUGAUGGAAAAGGAAGUCUCAGAGGACAGAGCUAGGAGCUGUAGAGAACAAUGGACCAAAGACCUUCCUCCUACACUACCAGACUCCACCCCACCCCCAGCUCACCUUCCCUUCCCCUGGGAGCAGGACCAAGGUCUGAUAAAGAAACAUAUCCUCCUCCUUUGGCAGGGAAACUUGGCUAAUUUGCCUAGAAGGAUUUCAGAAUCACUAAGGAACAAGUUUCUUCAUUUUGAAUGAGGUGUUUACUGUGAUUUUCCUGUCUCUGUUAUACCAGUGCAUAUUGUGUGGGUGUGGAAAGGGGGUGGGGCCUGUGAUUUGUCUUCUCAGUUUAUAGGUCCAAUUCAUAUCUGGACCAGAUGUAAAUCAUGAAGUCCUAAAUGUUGAGCCUGAUACAUGAUUGGGUGAGACUUGUGGUGUCCUUUGAUGGGGAUGGGCUGUUUUCAUAUUGGAGAGAUGUGAAUAAUGUAGCCGCGCAGGUGGACAGUCAUUGAUUGAGUUCCUGAUCCAAGUUCUUUGUAUCUCCCUGCAUUGUAUAAUUAUCAUGGCUGUAUCACAGACAGAGUGUACUACUACCGGGCCUUGUGACUUUGCACUUGGCCUCCUGCUUUGAUCAAUGAAAUAGAGCUGGAGUGAUGGGGCCAAUUCGUAGUCAAGGCCUUAAGCGGCUUUUGGUGUUUCUUCUUUACCUCUUGUACCUCUGCCAUUGUCUUGAAAAGAACAUGCCGCGACAAGCCCUCUAAUUCAGGGAGGAUGCAAGUCCCGGGAGAAGACCCAGACCCAGAGACUUGCAGAAUGAAGCAGAGCUACCCCAGGUGAUCUGCAGGUCCAGAAUAGAAUACAGUAUUACUGUUUUUAGCUACUGAGUUUUGGGGUUGUUUGUUACACAGCAUUUUUGUGGCAGUAGUUAACUGAUACACUUGAUUUCUUGGUUCCAGCAACAGUUUCACAGGUCGGGUGUGGUGGCAGCUUUCCAGCUGUGGCAGCUUUCCAGCUGUAUCUGACCCAUGGGUUGUUUUCUCCUUAGGGUGGAGCUUCUAUCAAAAUAGCCCUGUCUCCUGGGUUGGACCCAGCGUGCUAGCCCAACGCCUGCCCAGUGACCCUUCCAGCUUUUUUUUUUUUUGGAUCAGGCCCAGAUGGGCUCUUCAGCUGAUGGGGCUUAGCCCAUUCCCUGCCCAGCCUCAGGUUGCUUUAUCAUGGAGGCAGCAUAUAUAGAGAUAUUAUAAGUUGAUAGGAUAUCAGCACCACCAAAAUAUCACUAAGGGUUCAUAAGAGUGGGUCACUUCUUUUUUAAGUAUUUUUAGACUCUAUAAUAAUUACAAAAGGUAGAUAGGCCCAUAAUGGUGAAAUGUCUCAUUUGGCCAAAAAAGAAAAAAAAAGUGUGCAUAUCUUUCCAUCCCCUUUCUGUUCCUCAAGUCUUCCAAGUCUUCCUUACCCUUUUGGUAUUGUAUCAAAGGAUUUUAAGUUGCUAAAUCUAGUUUUGGGUUCAGAUUUUUCCAACUUGCCUAAGUCACAUGACCAAUAAAUGGAAAGGCCAGAAUUUGAGUACAUUUCUGUUUGUUCAGAUCCCAUUCCCUUUAUAACUGUCUAUAUUGUUUAAUGAUGUGGUUACUAGGUGGGUGGUGGAAUGAUCAUCUAGUUUCCUCCUGUGUAAAAUGAGGAUGGAACUAUCUAAAAAGCAUUGUUGUGAGGAAUAAAUGAGAUUUUAUGUGAAAAUGCUCUGUAAAUCAACUUUAUCUUCUAUUUAUUCUUUCUGAAGGAAACUGAGUAUGUGCUUAAGUACACUGCAAUUAAUUAUUACUGAGAUAAAAUGUAAUUAUGCAUUUGAAAUGAUCACUUGUCUUACUCUUGUAUCUGUCCGCCUACCAUCAUCAAUACCAGAUUUUUUUUUCUCUUUUUUAAAAUUAAGUUUUGGAAACCAUCACUGGUGGCAUGUGACCCUCUCUCUGAUGGGCGUGUUAACAGCAAUGGGACAUCUAUUAAGGGACAUCUAUCUCACUGUUAAAUUUAACUUUUUUUAAAGUUUAUUUUUGAAGGAGAGAGAGACAGAGCAUGAGCAGGGGAGGUGCAGAGAGUGAGGGAGACACAGAAUCCGAAGCAGGCUCCAGGCUCUGAGCUGUCAGCACAGAGCCCGACACAGGGCUUGAACUCACGAACCUCAAGAUCAUGACCUGAGCUGAAGUCGGACCCUUAAUCGACUGAGCCACCCAGGCGCCCCUCACUGUUGAAUUUUAGCUAUGGCUUUAAAUCACCUUGUUUUCUUCAUUCUGUUAAAAAAGAAAACGGGUGGGGGGAGUCUCAGUAUUGAUGAGUAGUGGCAGAUUCUGUGGCAUUUUAGAUGCUUUCCAAUAAACGUAUGGAUGCCUUUCACAGGGAGCACGGGUUGUAUUUCAGCAUGCCCUCCUCCAGCAAGUUGGAAUUUAGGCCCUGGCUCCAAAGACCUUUUGAAAGCCAGAAAGCUCACCAAAAUAUAUGGCCAGAGUUAGUCUAUUUUGGCAAUGACACUUGCUUAUUAUGACAUACAAUUAAAUUACAUAGAUUUAAAAUUUUUGUACAACAAGCCUCUUGCAGUUUGCAGAGGGAAAGGAGCAGGCAGAAGAGAAAUAUGAAUAUGGUCAUGCUCCUCUCUUCUGGAGCUUACAAUCCAGUGACGGAAGAAUGUAAAUAAAUAUAGGUGCUCCACAAAGCAGAAAAUGCAUUUGAAGAUGGAAUGUCUAAAAGCAGAAGGGAGUUCUCUUUCUAGGUAGCUGAGAGUCAAUAAUUACAAAAUCCUUUAAUACGAUUCCUUCAGUCUCAGGUGCCCCCUGCCAGAGGUGAGAAACCACCCUACGGAGUCUGACGUCUACAGACAGCUUUAGCCCUCAGCUGCCAACAGCUAUUCAUGGAGGGAGUUCAGCCAGAACUAGGGCUCCCCACUCAAGCCCUGCUUUGGUUCCUCUUGAAUUGCGGAGAGGGCCAAUGACAAUGACACCUGAUCUUUAAACCCCAUAAGGUCUUGACCUAAGGGGACUCAGUGCUUUUACCAAUACAAUUGGAUCAGACCCCAGGUCCUCUAUGGGAUCACCAUCAUUUAUGCUCUCCACUUCCUGUUGAGUCUCCUGGCUGCAAUCCAUCGCCCCCUGUUCCUCCGUGACCUCCAUAACUUCCCCUGCUACGGUGAUGAAGCCAAAGUGUGGGAGGCACAGAAGGGGAGGUUGGCAAGGGACACUCCUCUUGGAUAGGAGUUCUAAACGCGCCAGCAAGCUCUUGGAGCCCUUUCACUGCAGAGGGGAGCAGCCUUGUGCUUCUGCAGGGUAAAGGACUGGCCACACAGCCUCUAACUACCGCCAACGGUCUUUCUUCCACCUCCCCCAUGGACUCCUAAUUUCAUCUCUCAGCAGCAGCUGCUCUCAGGCAACACCAGAGCUGGAAACUACCUGAUCUAUGAAAGCCUGACUUCCUCCAGGCAAAGGAGGGUUAGGGUGUGGAUGUACAGAGAAGUGUGAAAGUGCAGAUUAUUUGGAAAUGGGGGUCCAACCUUACGAGGUUAUGUGUUAGGUACUUACGUGUUAAGUACUGGAGUAGACCUGUGAAAGGAGAGGAGAGGAAGAUUAAUUCUGACUGCAGACACAGCUUCAUGGUGGCAUUUUAUUCAUUCCUUCACUCAAUACUAUGGGCCAGGUUUCAUGUGAAGCACUAGUAAUACAACAGUGAACAAGACACACAUGAUCUCCAAACCUGUGGAGCUGAUUCUGACUUUGAGCAGUUUGCUUUAGCCUCACUUUCUUCAUCUGAGAAUUGGGAUGAUGGUGAUGAUAAUAAUAGUAAUAACACUCAUCUCCUAGAGUUGUUGAACAGAAUAAAAUGAGUUAAGAUGGGCAAGGUGCCUAGCAAAGUUCCUGGCACAUUGCAUGUUAUGUAAGUAUCACUACUAUUUUUACAGUCUAGUUGGGGAGAGACCUGUGAAGCAAAGCCAGAAUUGGAAGGUGGAAGAGUGGGCUGGCUGGAUACGAUGAAAGUCACAGUCUGAACAAAGCACAAAGGUGGGAAAAGCAGGAACAGCAAAUACCUAAGCCGAGUAACCAGAGUGCAGGGGGUGGAGGGUGUGAUACGAAGAAUAUUGGGAGUUAAGGCUGGACCAGGCAGGUUGGGCUUUGCUCAAGGAAAGCCUUGUAUAUCACACUAAAUGGCAGCUCUUCAUUCAGCAGGGGAGCCAGGUUAGUGCAAUGAUGAAGAGCGGUGACCACCACAAUCUCCAAGAUCAAACAUCCGAGGGUGCUGGGCACCAUGACCAGCUUGGAACCAGACCAUUGUGCGAUUUGCAUGCACGGAGGGGCAGCAGGCAGACAUUGCUAUGCCAACCUGUGCCCCUGUGUUUGAGGAAAUCCGUGCCCUGAUGUUAGCUCGGAUUGUCAGCUUCCACAGUGAGUGCCUUAGGGUUGCCAGCAGGCAGCCGGGGACCGGAAGGUUAGGUGUCUCUGCGAAGUCUUAUUAAACUCUCAGCUGCCUGGGAAUAAUGCACCACAGCAGCAGAGUUUUAAAUGGCAAAGGGUCUCUGGCUGUCAGCAAGGUUACAGGUAGAUACUUUCAUUUGUCCUCCAUGAAAGCUUAAUAUCAUUUUCUUCUGUUCAAGUCAGCUUAUAGACCUCAUUACUUCAAGUUCAUCGGGCAGCUGAACAGACUUUUUGAUUUUACUGUGCUUUCAGAAUCAUGUUGGAGAAGAGCUAAUGCAUUUUUAACCAACUUCAGCAAAUUGAAGCUCUUUGGUGCUGUAGUGUACUAAUACAAUUGCUGCUAACUCUGUGAGAGCAGCAUCUGGGUCCGGAAAUUCCCGCUAUUGAGGUUGUGAGCUCCAGGAGAAGAGGAAUUAAUAAGUCAGAGUGUCUACACAGUUGCAAGGCUUUUUGUGGCUAUCAUCUAUUAUCUUCCACCAGAGGGUUCGCCUGUGUAACCAUCAAAAUAUCUCAAACAUGACAGACUCUGACCUCCAAGCCUGGGUCAUAAAAGACAUUGUGGCUUCCACUUUAUUCUCUUUUUGGAUCACUCAUCCAGAAGUAGUCAACCGUACGUCAUGAGGACACUCAAGCAGCCUUAAAAGAGGUCCACGUGGUGGAACUGAAGCCUUCUGCCAACAUCAGCACUAACUUGACAGCCACCUGACUAAGCUCUUCUGGAAGUGAUGCUCUGGCACCAGUCAGGCCUUCAGAUGACUACAGCCCAGGCCAGUAUCUUGACUGCAACCCCAUGAGACACUCUGAGCCAGAAACACCCAGCUAAGCACUCCUCAAUUCCUGAUGCACAGAAACUGUGUGUGAUAAUAAAUGUUCAUUGUGUGAAGUUA